rnacentral:rRNA from 1 species
AUUGAGCGCUGUCGUCAGGCCUAACACAUGCAAGUCGAACGAGUGGCGGACGUGUGAGUAAUGUCUGGUAAACUGCCUGAUGGAGGGUGAUCACUACUGGAAACGGUAUCUAAUACCGCAUACCAUCGGAUGUGCCCAGAUGGGAUUAGCUAGUAGGUGGGGUAAAGGCUCACCUAGGCGCCGGUCCCUAGCUGGUCUGAGAGGAUGACCAGCCACACGGGAACUGGUACACGGUCCAGACUCCUACGGGAGGCAGCAGUGGGGAAUAUUGCACAAUGGGCGCAAGCCUGAUGCAGCCAUGCCGCGUGGAUGAAGAAGGCCUUCGGGUUGUAAAGUACUUUCAGCGGAGAGGCGUUACCCGCAGAAGAAGCACCGGCUAACUCCGUGCCAGCCGCCGCGGUAAUAC